CGGUCUACAGCAUCGUGAAACAUCAUCAGUCUUUAGUUAAUGAAUGCUGUGACAACAGGGUCUGUACCAAGACACCUGAACAGGCACUGAAGACUGAGCCCGGGCCUUGUUCAUUCCAGCCUUCAAUACCGUGAGCAUGCAAGGUCUACAC